rnacentral:rRNA from 1 species
CGUAGAGUUUGAUCCUGGCUCAGGAUGAACGCUGGCGGCGUGCUUAACACAUGCAAGUCGACGGGGAUGCCAUUUUUGAGGCGGUUAGUUUACUAAGCGCCAAGAUGCUGGCAUCUUAGUGGCGGACGGGUGAGUAACGCGUGGGUAACCUGCCUUAUACAGGGGGAUAACACUUAGAAAUAGGUGCUAAUACCGCAUAAGCGCACGGGGCUGCAUGGCCCAGUGUGAAAAACUCCGGUGGUAUAAGAUGGACCCGCGUCUGAUUAGCUUGUUGGCGGGGUAACGGCCCACCAAGGCGACGAUCAGUAGCCGGCCUGAGAGGGUGGACGGCCACAUUGGGACUGAGACACGGCCCAAACUCCUACGGGAGGCAGCAGUGGGGAAUAUUGGACAAUGGGGAGAACCCUGAUCCAGCGACGCCGCGUGAGUGAAGAAGUAUUUCGGUAUGUAAAGCUCUAUCAGCAGGGAAGAAAGAAAUGACGGUACCUGACUAAGAAGCCCCGGCUAACUACGUG